AUGCAAGUCGAGCGGUAACAGGGGAAGCUUGCUUCCCGCUGACGAGCGGCGGACGGGUGAGUAAUGCUUAGGAAUCUGCCCAGUAGUGGGGGAUAGCCCGGGGAAACCCGGAUUAAUACCGCAUACGUCCUACGGGAGAAAGCAGGGGAUCUUCGGACCUUGCGCUAUUGGAUGAGCCUAAGUCGGAUUAGCUAGUUGGUGGGGUAAAGGCCUACCAAGGCGACGAUCCGUAGCUGGUCUGAGAGGAUGAUCAGCCACAUCGGGACUGAGACACGGCCCGAACUCCUACGGGAGGCAGCAGUGGGGAAUAUUGGACAAUGGGGGCAACCCUGAUCCAGCCAUGCCGCGUGUGUGAAGAAGGCUUUCGGGUUGUAAAGCACUUUCAGUAGGGAGGAAAACCUUAUGGUUAAUACCCAUGAGGCUCGACGUUACCUACAGAAGAAGCACCGGCUAACUCCGUGCCAGCAGCCGCGGUAAUACGGAGGGUGCAAGCGUUAAUCGGAAUUACUGGGCGUAAAGCGCGCGUANGUGGUUUGGUAAGCGAGAUGUGAAAGCCCCGGGCUUAACCUGGGAACGGCAUUUCGAACUGUCAGACUA
rnacentral:rRNA from 1 species